rnacentral:rRNA from 1 species
AACGAACGCUGGCGGCAUGCCUAACUCAUGCAAGUCGAACGAGAUCUUCGGGUCUAGUGGCGCACGGGUGCGUAACGCGUGGGAAUCUGCCCUUUGGUUCGGAAUAACAGUUGGAAACGACUGCUAAUACCGGAUGAUGACGAUAGUCCAAAGAUUUAUCGCCAGAGGAUGAGCCCGCGUAGGAUUAGCUAGUUGGUGCGGUAAAGGCGCACCAAGGCGACGAUCCUUAGCUGGUCUGAGAGGAUGAUCAGCCACACUGGGACUGAGACACGGCCCAGACUCCUACGGGAGGCAGCAGUGGGGAAUAUUGGACAAUGGGCGAAAGCCUGAUCCAGCAAUGCCGCGUGAGUGAUGAAGGCCUUAGGGUUGUAAAGCUCUUUUACCCGGGAUGAUAAUGACAGUACCGGGAGAAUAAGCUCCGGCUAACUCCGUGCCAGCCGCCGCAGUAA